AGAGCUUGCUCUGGUUGAUCAGUGGCGAACGGGUGAGUAACACGUGAGUAACCUGCCCUUGACUCUGGGAUAACUCCGGGAAACCGGGGCUAAUACCGGAUACGAGACGCGACCGCAUGGUCGGCGUCUGGAAAGUUUUUCGGUCAAGGAUGGACUCGCGGCCUAUCAGCUUGUUGGUGAGGUAAUGGCUCACCAAGGCGUCGACGGGUAGCCGGCCUGAGAGGGCGACCGGCCACACUGGGACUGAGACACGGCCCAGACUCCUACGGGAGGCAGCAGUGGGGAAUAUUGCACAAUGGGCGAAAGCCUGAUGCAGCGACGCCGCGUGAGGGAUGAAGGCCUUCGGGUUGUAAACCUCUUUCAGUAGGGAAGAAGCGAAAGUGACGGUACCUGCAGAAGAAGCGCCGGCUAACUACGUGCCAGCAGCCGCGGUAACACGUAGGGCGCAAGCGUUGUCCGGAAUUAUUGGGCGUAAAGAGCUCGUAGGCGGUUUGUCGCGUCUGGUGUGAAAACUCAAGGCUCAACCUUGAGCUUGCAUCGGGUACGGGCAGACUAGAGUGUGGUAGGGGUGACUGGAAUUCCUGGUGUAGCGGUGGAAUGCGCAGAUAUCAGGAGGAACACCGAUGGCGAAGGCAG
rnacentral:rRNA from 1 species